AGUGAACGCUGGCGGUAGGCCUAACACAUGCAAGUCGAACGGCAGCACAGUAAGAGCUUGCUCUUACGGGUGGCGAGUGGCGGACGGUUUAGGAAUACAUCGGAAUCUACUUUUUCGUGGGGGAUAACGUAGGGAAACUUACGCUAAUACCGCAUACGACCUACGGGUGAAAGCAGGGGAUCUUCUGACCUUGCGCGAUUGAAUGAGCCGAUGUCGGAUUAGCUAGUUGGCGGGGUAAAGGCUCACCAAGGCGACGAUCCGUAGCUGGUCUGAGAGGAUGAUCAGCCACACUGGAACUGAGACACGGUCCAGACUCCUACGGGAGGCAGCAGUGGGGAAUAUUGGACAAUGGGCGCAAGCCUGAUCCAGCCAUACCGCGUGGGUGAAGAAGGCCUUCGGGUUGUAAAGCCCUUUUGUUAGGAAAGAAAAGCAGCAGGUUAAUACCCCGCUGUUCUGACGGUACCCAAAGAAUAAGCACCGGCUAACUUCGUG
rnacentral:rRNA from 1 species